CCUACGGGAGGCAGCAGUGAGGAAUAUUGGUCAAUGGACGGAAGUCUGAACCAGCCAUGCCGCGUGCAGGAAGACGGCUCUAUGAGUUGUAAACUGCUUUUGUACAAGGGUAAACCUGAAUACGUGUAUUCAGCUGAAAGUACUGUACGAAUAAGAAUCGGCUAACUCCGUGCCAGCAGCCGCGGUAAUACGGAGGAUCCAAGCGUUAUCCGGAUUUAUUGGGUUUAAAGGGUGCGUAGGCGGAUUGAUAAGUUAGAGGGGAAAUGUCCGAGCUUAACUCGGGAACUGCCUCUACUACUGUUGAUCUAGAGAGUAGAUGCGGUAGGCGGAAUGUAUGGUGUAGCGGUGAAAUGCUUAGAGAUCAUACAGAACACCGAUUGCGAAGGCAGCUUACCAAUCUAUAUCUGACGUUGAGGCACGAAAGCGUGGGGAGCAAACAGGAUUAGAUACCCCUGUAGUC
rnacentral:rRNA from 1 species